rnacentral:rRNA from 1 species
UACAGAGGGUGCAAGCGGUUAAUCGGAAUUACUGGGCGUAAAGCGUGCGGUAGACGGUUAUGUAAGUCGGGUGUGAAAGCCCGGGCUCAACCUGGGAAUUGCAUUCGAGACUGUGUAGCUAGGGUACGGAAGAGGGAAGCGGAAUUUCAGGUGUAGCGGUGAAAGUGCGUAGAUAUCUGAAGGAACACCAGUGGCGAAAGCGGCUUCCUGGUCCAGUACCGACGUUCAGGCACGAAAGCGUGGGGAGCAAACAGG